rnacentral:misc_RNA from 1 species
GAUGAAGAACGCAGCAAAAUGCGAUAAGUAAUGUGAAUUGCAGAAUUCAGUGAAUCAUCGAAUCUUUGAACGCACAUUGCGCCCGCUGGUAUUCCGGCGGGCAUGCCUGUUCGAGCGUCAUUUCAACCCUCAAGCCCCCGGGUUUGGUGUUGGGGAUCGGCUCUGCCCUUCUGGGCGGUGCCGCCCCCGAAAUACAUUGGCGGUCUCGCUGCAGCCUCCAUUGCGUAGUAGCUAACACCUCGCAACUGGAACGCCGCGCGGCCAUGCCGUAAAACCCCAACUUCUGAAUGUUGACCUCGGAUCAGGUAGGAAUACCCGCUGAACUUAAGCAUAUCAAUAAGCGGAGGA